GAGUGGGCGUCCGGCGGAAACUACAGGACUUGGGACCGGAAGACUUGAGGGGUACGUCUGGGGUAGGAGUGAAAUCCUGUAAUCCUGGACGGACCGCCGAUAGCGAAAGCACCUCAAGACGACGGAUCCGACAGUGAGGGACGAAAGCUAGGGUCUCGAACCGGAUUAGAUACCCGGGUAGUCCUAGCUGUAAACGAUGU
rnacentral:rRNA from 1 species